rnacentral:rRNA from 1 species
CAGAGGGUGCGAGCGUUGUCCGGAAUCACUGGGCGUAAAGGGCGCGUAGGUGGCGGCCCAAGUCCAUGGUGAAAGCUCGAUGCUCAACAUCGAGUCGGCCACGGAUACUGGGUUGCUCGAGCACUGUAGAGGCAGAUGGAAUUCCGGGUGUAGCGGUGGAAUGCGUAGAGAUCCGGAAGAACACCGGUGGCGAAGGCGGUCUGCUGGGCAGUAGCUGACACUGAGGCGCGACAGCGUGGGGAGCAAACAGGAUUAGAUACCCUGGUAGUCCACGCCGUAAACGAUGAGUGCUAGGUGUGGGGGGUGUCGACUCCCUCCGUGCCGAAGCUAACGCAUUAAGCACUCCGCCUGGGGAGUACGGCCGCAAGGCUA